GAGUUCGAUCUUAGCUCAGGAUAAACGCUGGCGGUAUGCUUAACACAUGCAAGUCGGACGGGAAAUGGUGUUUCCAAUGGCAGACGGAUGAGUAACGCGUAAGAACCUGCCCUUGGGGGAGAACAACAGUUGGAAAUGGCUGCUAAUACCCCAUAGGCUGAGGAGCAAAGGGAGGAAUCCACCCGAGGAGGGGCUCGCGUCUGAUUAGCUAGUUGGUGAGGCAAUAGCUUACCAAGGUGAUGAUCAGUAGCUGGUCCGAGAGGAUGAUCAACCACACUGGGACUAAGACACGUCCUAGACUCCUACCGGAGGCAACAAUGGGGAAUUUUCCGCAAUGGACGAAAGCCUGAUGGAGCAAUGUCGCGUGGAGGUAGAAGGCCCACAGGUCGUGAACUUCUUUUCCCGGAGAAGAAGCAAUGACGGUAUCACAUAGUUUGUGAUACUAAAUCUAUAUUUGAUAUAAAUAUAGAUAUAUAGCUAGUUC
rnacentral:ncRNA from 1 species